rnacentral:misc_RNA from 1 species
GAUGAAGAACGUAGCGAAAUGCGAUAAGUAAUGUGAAUUGCAGAAUUCAGUGAAUCAUCGAAUCUUUGAACGCACAUUGCGCCCUCUGGUAUUCCGGGGGGCAUGCCUGUUCGAGCGUCAUUUCAACCCUCAAGCUCUGCUUGGUAUUGGGCCCCGCCGGCACCCGGCGCGCCCUAAAAUCAGUGGCGGCGUCAUCUGGCUCUAAGCGUAGUAAUUCUUCUCGCUAUGGAGUCCUGGUGGAUGCUUGCCAUCAACCCCCAAUUUUUCUAUGGUUGACCUCGGAUCAGGUAGGGAUACCCGCUGAACUUAAGCAUAUCAAUAAGCGGAGGA